CCCUUAGAUGUUCUGGGAUGCACGCGCGUUACACUGAUUCGUUCAACGAGUUUAUGACCUUGCCUGAUGAGGUGGGGGAAUCUUUUCAAAUCGCAUCGUGAUGGGGAUAGAGUAUUGUAACUGUCAGUCUUCAACGAGGAAUUCCUAGUAAGUACGUGUCAUCAGCUCGUACUGAUUAUGUCCCUGCCCUUUGUACACACCGCCCGUCGCUCCUACCGAUUGAGUGCUCAGGUGAAUAGUAUGGACUGCAUCAGUGUUCGGUCUCCGAAUGUUGACGCGAGAAAUUCUGUGAAUCUUAUUGCUUAGAGGAAGGAGAAGUCGUAACA
rnacentral:rRNA from 1 species